rnacentral:rRNA from 1 species
AGAACGAACGCUGGCGGCAUGCCUAACACAUGCAAGUCGAACGAGACCUUCGGGUCUAGUGGCGCACGGGUGCGUAACGCGUGGGAAUCUGCCCUUGGGUUCGGGAUAACAGUUGGAAACGACUGCUAAUACCGGAUGAUGACUUCGGUCCAAAGAUUUAUCGCCCGAGGGGAUGAGCCCGCGUAGGAUUAGCUUGUUGGUGAGGUAAGAGCUCACCAAGGCGACGAUCCUUAGCUGGUCUGAGAGGAUGAUCAGCCACACUGGGACUGAGACACGGCCCAGACUCCUACGGGAGCAGCAGUGGGAAUAUGGACAAUGGGCGAAAGCCUAGAUCCAGCAAUGCCGCGUGAGUGAUGAAGCCUUAGGUGUAAGCUCGUUUUACCGGAUGAUAAUGACAGGUACCGGAGAAGUAACGCCCCGGAUAACCGUCCGUGCCAGCCACGCCGC